rnacentral:rRNA from 1 species
UACGGAGGGUGCAAGCGUUGUCCGGAAUCACUGGGCGUAAAGGGCGCGUAGGCGGCUCAUGAAGGCUGUGGUGAAAGUCCGGGGCUCAACCUCGGAUCGGCCGUGGCGACUCGUGGGCUGGAGCACUGUAGAGGCGGGUGGAAUUCCGGGGUGUAGCGGUGGAAUGCGUAGAGAUCCGGAAGAACACCAGUGGCGAAGGCGGCCCGCUGGGCAGUGGCUGACGCUGAGGCGCGACAGCGUGGGGAGCAAACAGG